UUAACUAUUAUAUAGUACUCAGACAGCAAAGAUUCAAGGGUUUGAGUCCUCUGGCCGGCCCGCGAAGGCCAGCCAAAGCAACUGAAGUUUGGUAUACAAAGGGUGAGAAUGGGACCGCGAGGGUCACCGAUUCUUUAAUGAUCCUUCCGCAGGUUCCGUUCAUCCCCCGCAGUUGCCUACAGGGACGGGCUCUAUCUUAAGCCUGGCCAAAAGGCCAAACCCACACUCAUUGAGUCUCUGAACCAGCCUUUAGGGGGCCGGCUGCGGAUUACCCUCUGAAAAGAGGGCCUCUCCGCAACAUUGAGCGUGUCGCCUCGGGGAGAGACUAGCAGUUUUGAAAGGUUUGCUUUGGUAGGCUGAACUCUAGCGACCUACGGAAA
rnacentral:misc_RNA from 1 species